AACAACUCACCUGCCGAAUGAAUUAGCCCUGAAAAUGGAUGGCGCUUAAGCGGGUGACCGACACCAUGCCGUUUGAACAAUAUAACGUUCAAAUGAGUAGGAGGACGUGGUGAUUGUAGCGAAGUAUAUGUGCGAACAUAUAUUGAACGAUCACUAGUGCAGAUCUUGGUGGUAGUAGCAAAUAUUCAAGCGAGAUCCUUGAAGGGCGAAGCGGGGAAGGGUUCCACGCUAACAUUGAUUGGGCGUGGGUGAGUCGUUCCUAAGCCGAGUGGCAAUUGCUAAGUAUUGGCGAAAGGGAAGCGGGUUUACAUUCCCGCACACGGAUGUGGAGGCGGUGACGCUUUAUUGGGGCGAACACGCUGGCGAUGGCGCUGGGCAGAGUUGUCUUUUCUGUUUGACCGUUUGUGUAUGCGGUGUGGAGUCCGUUUGUUGGGAGAAACACGCGUACAUGGGCAGAGCGUCGGGGCUUAUCCGACGUCCAGCUCGCCAUCGACGGCCCUUGAAACUUUGCCUGCUGAUAUUAAGAUCCACGCCGUGGCGUACCGAUAACCGCAUCAGGUCCCCAAGGUGAACAGCCUCUGCUCAAUAUGAAAAAU
rnacentral:rRNA from 1 species